GACUUCCUUCGUGUGACUUGAGCAUUUCACAAUGUUUUACCCAAGUUAAAAAAUUUAUCAAAAAUAAUAAUAAUAAUAAUAAUCACCUUUGUCCCACUUCCAACAUUUAUCUUUUUUUUUUUUUCAUUUUUAUGUUUUUCAGUUUUACAGUAGAGUGCCUCGAAAUCUCGGUCUUUUAUAAAUAGGUUUACCUUUCACGACAUCAGUUUGAAAGGCAAAAUCAAAAUCAAGAUUCCAAAAGAGCAUGAGAAAAAGAAAACUAAAGAGAGGGUUGCCUUGCACAUAGUCUUCACCCCAAUAAAGAAAGGUUCAGAACUAUAAAGCAAAUAUGGAAAUAAUGAGCAGAGAUUAGAGAUUUGUAGCACAUAGUCUUCACCCCAUGGCAAAGAAUUUGAAGCUUAUCGGAGAAAACAUUCAUGUACAAUAGAUAAAGGUCCUCACAUUUUUAUGAAUUCCAAAGCUCGGGUGGGGCAUAUAUUGGGCCAGAGAUUCGGGAGCAUGAGGAGAUCAAAUGUGAAAUUAAAUGAUACUAAGUUGGCUCAAGAAAGCGGAUUGUUCCUUAGGAGCGAUACACUUAAGAGGACGAACCUUGGUACAAUGAUAAGAUUGAGAUCAAGAAUCGAGUCACAGAAAUAAUCUCUUUAAAUAUUUAAAAGUAAGAUCGAGCUUUUUGCACUGGUACGUUAUUUUUUAGACUUACACAGGAGUUUGAAAACCAACAAGUCUGCAAGUGAAACUUUUUGAGGAAUCCUGCAUCCUAGUUGUCAUCAGUAUCCUUGAUAUCUUGCAAGAGAACACCUCUAACUCUUGACCUGGACCACAAAAAAAAUAAAGAAACAGGACAAUGCAUCAUGAAUAUACCUGGGUAGAAAGCAUUAUAGAAACAAGAAAA
rnacentral:lncRNA from 1 species